ACGCUGGCGGCGUGCCUAAUACAUGCAAGUAGAACGCUGAAGAGAGGAGCUCGCUCUUCUUGGAUGAGUUGCGAACGGGUGAGUAACGCGUAGGUAACCUGCCUUGUAGCGGGGGAUAACUAUUGGAAACGAUAGCUAAUACCGCAUAACAAUGGGUGACACAUGUCAUUUAUUUGAAAGGGGCAAUUGCUCCACUACAAGAUGGACCUGCGUUGUAUUAGCUAGUAGGUGAGGUAACGGCUCACCUAGGCGACGAUACAUAGCCGACCUGAGAGGGUGAUCGGCCACACUGGGACUGAGACACGGCCCAGACUCCUACGGGAGGCAGCAGUAGGGAAUCUUCGGCAAUGGGGGCAACCCUGACCGAGCAACGCCGCGUGAGUGAAGAAGGUUUUCGGAUCGUAAAGCUCUGUUGUAAGUCAAGAACGAGUGUGAGAGUGGAAAGUUCACACUGUGACGGUAGCUUACCAGAAAGGGACGGCUAACUACGUGCCAGCAGCCGCGGUAAUACGUAGGUCCCGAGCGUUGUCCGGAUUUAUUGGGCGUAAAGCGAGCGCAGGCGGUUUGAUAAGUCUGAAGUUAAAGGCUGUGGCUCAACCAUAGUUCGCUUUGGAAACUGUCAAACUUGAGUGCAGAAGGGGAGAGUGGAAUUCCAUGUGUAGCGGUGAAAUGCGUAGAUAUAUGGAGGAACACCGGUGGCGAAAGCGGCUCUCUGGUCUGUAACUGACGCUGAGGCUCGAAAGCGUGGGGAGCGAACAGGAUUAGAUACCCUGGUAGUCCACGCCGUAAACGAUGAGUGCUAGGUGUUGGAUCCUUUCCGGGAUUCAGUGCCGCAGCUAACGCAUUAAGCACUCCGCCUGGGGAGUACGACCGCAAGGUUGAAACUCAAAGGAAUUGACCGGGGGCCCGCACAAGCGG
rnacentral:rRNA from 1 species